UACGGAAGGGGCAAGCGUUGUUCGGAAUCAUUGGGCGUAAAGGGCGCGUAGGUGGUUCUGUAUGUCUACCGUGAAAGCGUACGGCUCAACCGUAUUUUGUCGGUAGAAACUGCAGGACUUGAGGCUGGGAGGGGCUGGUGGAAUUCCCUGUGUAGCGGUGAAAUGCGUAGAGAUGGGGGAGAACACUCGUGGCGAAGGCGGCCAGCUAGACCAGUUCUGACACUGAGGCGCGGCAGCGUGGGAAGCAAACAGG
rnacentral:rRNA from 1 species